rnacentral:misc_RNA from 1 species
AUUAACCUUCCAUUACUCCACAGAAAGUGAAUUUGAGGAAUAUAUAUUAAUCAAAGUGAAAAUUAUUAGGUAAAUGUUUAGAAAACCCCGAGUUCAUAGUAAUGCUAAAUUAACUUGUUCAAAGCUUUAACGGCCCCCUUAAAUGAAACUUUAGUAGUGAGAAUGAAAUAGGUUAUGGAGGUUCAAGGACUCUAAAUCACAAGUUAAUAGAAGAGCUUUUCAUUCCAUUUUGUAGAAGCAGGCCUCUCAUCUUUGUUAACAUAAAUUUAGGUCAAAAUGGAUUCUUUUGAGUUCUAUAGGAAAUGGAAUAAAAAACAGAUAAUUAGCUAGUUUAUGACUUUAUGUUAAACAGAUAAUUAGCUAGUUUAUGACUUUAUGUUGUACAAAAAGUUAUACACAACACCACACAGAUAUACACUUCAUUCAUCAAAAAAGAAUUUCAAAAAAUUUGCCUCAUAAAGGAUCUGAUUGAUAGAUAGAAUAAACAACUACUAUAUGUUCACAAAACAGCAAAAUCAAAUACUGUGAAGUCAUUGAUUAUAAAUUUUAUAGUCUGAACGGUAAACAUAUAGAAUAUACCAUCCAUCCUUGCCA